rnacentral:misc_RNA from 1 species
GAAAUGCGAUAAGUAAUGUGAAUUGCAGAAUUCAGUGAAUCAUCGAAUCUUUGAACGCACCUUGCGCUCCUUGGUAUUCCUUGGAGCAUGCCUGUUUGAGUAUCAUGAAAUCUUCAAAGUAAAUCUUUUGUUAACUCAAUUGGUUUCUACUUUGGUAUUGGAGGUCUUUGCAGCUUCACACCUGCUCCUCUUUGUUCAUUAGCUGGAUCUCAGUGUUAUGCUUGGUUCCACUCGGCGUGAUAAGUUAUCUAUCGCUGAGGACACUGUAAAAGGUGGCCAAGGUAAAUGCCGAUGAACCGCUUCUAAUAGUCCAUUGACUUGGACAAUACUUUUAUGAUCUGAUCUCAAAUCAGGUAGGACUACCCGCUGAACUUAAGC